ACGGGAGGCAGCAGUGGGGAAUAUUGCACAAUGGGCGAGAGCCUGAUGCAGCAACGCCGCGUGAAGGAUGAAGGUCUUCGGAUUGUAAACUUCUAUCAGCAGGGAAGAAAAUGAACCAUAGGUUCAUCUGACGGUACCUGACUAAGAAGCUCCGGCUAACUACGUGCCAGCAGCCGCGGUAAUACGUAGGGAGCAAGCGUUAUCCGGAUUUACUGGGUGUAAAGGGUGCGUAGGCGGCCGCUUAAGUCUAAAGUGAAAUUUCGAGGCUCAACCUCGGAGCUGCUUUGGAAACUGAGGGGCUAGAGUAUAGGAGAGGAAAGCGGAACUCCACGUGUAGCGGUGAAAUGCGUAGAGAUGUGGAGGAACACCAGUAGCGAAGGCGGCUUUCUGGACUAUUACUGACGCUGAGGCACGAAAGCGUGGGGAGCAAACAGGAUUAGAUACCCUGGUA
rnacentral:rRNA from 1 species